GUCCCCAUCGUCUAGCCUGGCCUAGGACACGAGCUUUUCAAGCUUGCGACACCGGUUCAAAUCCGGUUGGGGACGCCA
rnacentral:tRNA from 1 species